CCUACGGGGGGCAGCAGUGGGGAAUAUUGCACAAUGGGGGAAACCCUGAUGCAGCGACGCCGCGUGAGUGAAGAAGUCAUUCGUUAUGUAAAGCUCUAUCAGCAGGGAAGAAAAUGACGGUACCUGAGUAAGAAGCCCCGGCUAACUACGUGCCAGCAGCCGCGGUAAUACGUAGGGGGCAAGCGUUAUCCGGAUUUACUGGGUGUAAAGGGAGCGUAGGCGGCAGUGCAAGUCUGGAGUGAAAGGGGGGGGCUCAACCCCCGGACUGCUCUGGAAACUGUGCGGCUGGAGUGCAGGAGAGGUAAGUGGAAUUCGUAGUGUAGCGGUGAAAUGCGUAGAUAUUAGGAGGAACACCAGUGGCGAAGGCAGCUUACUGGACUGUAACUGACGUUGAGGCUCGAAAGCGUGGGGAGCAAACAGGAUUAGAUACCCGAGUAGUC
rnacentral:rRNA from 1 species